GGAGGGUGCAAGCGUUAAUCGGAAUUACUGGGCGUAAAGGGCGCGUAGGUGGUUAGUUAAGUCAAAUGUGAAAUCCCUGGGGCUCAACCUGGGAAUUGCAUCUGAUACUGGCUGACUAGAGUGCAGUAGAGGGAAGUGGAAUUUCCGGUGUAGCGGUGAAAUGCGUAGAUAUCGGAAGGAACACCAGUGGCGGAGGCGACUUCCUGGACUGACACUGACACUGAGGCGCGAAAGCGUGGGGAGCAAACAGGAUUAGAUACCCUGGUAGUCCACGCCGUAAACGAUGGGAACUAGCUGUUGGGGAGAGUUUACCUUCUCAGUGGCGCAGCUAACGCAAUAAGUUCUCCGCCUGGGGAGUACGGCCGCAAGGUUA
rnacentral:rRNA from 1 species